rnacentral:lncRNA from 1 species
GGCACUGCUCCUUGCAGCUAGUCACUGCAGGGUUGUCAGAGCUGUUGCUGGACGUGCAGAAGGGAGAGAUGAAACAUGGACCGAGGGCGGCAGCCAAACGGGAUCCUCAAAACUUGUUUGCUGCUGAAAUGGGAGAAUUGAAUAUUUUUCCACUUAAUCUAAAAAUUGGCCUUGGUUUCUUGGAAUGUUUCUCACCUCCUCUCAGCAUCAUCUACUGGAAAGAAGGCUCAAGAGAAAGUUGGGGAAGAUCUAUCAAUGAAACACCCGAGGAAACCCACCCUGAUACCUUCAUUUCUCCAUUUGUGCAGCCCACGUUGUGGUGUAAUGCAAAUCUAUGGCUAUACUGUAUCACAGCGAAUAAAUCCAUUUGGAGAAAAAGGCACCUGGUGAAAGGCCACAGUGCAAUGGAAUGCAAUGCUGCUAUGUGCAAUGCUGCUUACAAGAAAACUUUGGGUAAAUAUUGCACGGGUCAAACUUACGAUCCAACUUUUUCACGUAACAGGGCCGCGUAUUGGAUGCCUUCAGAAUUCCCAUUCAGCGUGUCCACUUUGCUCUUUGAUGCAAUGCCACCUCACAAAAGCAUUCAAGCCACAGUCAUCUAUUUUUUUCCUUCUUUCUCCCCUUGCUAUAAUGACCCAAAUCUCCGUUUUUACUUUGUAAUUUUUGUAAGUUUUUUAAGGCAAUGACUAUAAUAAUUCAUGUUUAGUGAAAUAAUUCUUUUGGUUGAUAUAUUUCACAGUUUGGUCUCUAAAAAAAGUUAAAAAACAACAACAAGAACCAAAAACAAACAACCCCCCGCCCCAAGCUUCCCUCUGCUUGAUGCCAUAGACAAGAGUCCAAAGGACAUUAGCUGCUCCAUUGCACACAUUGGAAGGGAGAGUUUGCUGUGAGCUCAGUCCUUCUAAUAGACUGGCAAUUUUGUAAAAGAUUUAGAGAAUUUUGUUUAACCAUUUCUGCAUGUGUUUUUAAUGAGCUCAUGAUGGUUUCUAACAAAGGCCAGGUUGUGUGUUUUCCAGCACUUUCUGACCUGAUUCCUCCCUGCUGACUUGGGGAGUGGGCACCUGUGCUUCUCUCCUGGCUCACCUAUGGGAGUCGGGGUGGUGGGGCCAUCUCCGGGCCUGUCUUCACGCCAGGGAUGAAUCAUGUAGUAGGCAGAGUGGAAGGAGUCUCUUUGUUGACAGCUUUCCAUCUGGACUUUGGAUACGGCUGAUCGUUCAUGUAGAGCCGUGGUUAGCUGGAAGGGGCUACGCGAGUCAGCUCCUCCUUAAGGGAUCAAGGGUGUGUAAAACAUCAGGAAAGAACUGCCUGGGAUUUCAUUUGCAAAGCUUAGAGAAGCAUUUUAUCCUCUGAGUUUCAGGUAGCCAGGGUUGUGAAUGUGUAUGACUGCAGCUUUGACAGGUCGGUCUUUAAUAGUCAAUAGGAUCAUUUAUAGCCUCGUUCAGAUAAUCCAACUGGAGUACACCUGAAUAAAUACAUCAAGUUCAGGUGGCUAAAAGCUAACCCCUUUUGAGUUUAAUAAUUAAAAUAAACAGAGCUAUGAAGAUGAAUUUCAGUUUGUCAUGCAUAAAUGUAAGAAGCUCCAUAAAGGAUGGUGUUCUGUGAUUCAUAUAGGAGUAUGAUGGAUGUAUGAUACGUUUUCCACAGCUAUUUAAGAAAAAACGAUUAUCUUAGUCAUGGGGUAAAGUUAUGUGAAGCAUUGCACCAUCCAGGCUGUGUCUGGGCCAGUACAGAUUUUUUUUCUUUUUCUUUUUCUUUCUUUCUUUUUUUUUUUUUUGUGAAAGAUUACUUCUUGGCAAACUAGAUAUGCAAACGCCAGAAUACAGUAAAACCACAUUUAAUUGGACCUACUUGCCAACUUCUUGAACACAGCUUGGAUUAUUCCACUGGAGGCUGCUUCUGUUAAAAGCUGGGGGAGGAGGAAGUGGCAUAUUGACAAGACUUCAGAUAAUUUUUUUUUCACUCGAAGUACAAUUAUGCAAUGAGCCAAGUUUGGAAGUAUUUUACUAUGUUUAAUAAUUAUUAUUAAAGAUAUUGUAAAACAUAUGCAUUUGUUAAGUGGAAUGUAAUGGGAGUAAAAUCAUGUCAUCAAUUUUCCUUUGGAUUUAUUUUCCCAUUUUGUGUUUUAUUUGACAGCCUUCCAAAUUGAUUCUAGCCAAAACCAUGCACUCUAAUAUAUAUCAUACUUGAUAUUAAAGUGAGAAUGCGAGUAAUUUAUAGAAUCUGAGUGAGAACAGUUUUCUUCUCUUAGCCAGCCUAUAUGGAGCUGCCACCUCUGCUCAGGUAGCAACCGACACAUGCCUUGUACACAGAAAGGAAAAUAAUAGGGGUCGAGAAAUCCUCCACACAUCCUUCCUGAUAGACACUCCAAAACCCACAUAUCCCAGGCAUUGUUCAGUGGGAGAUCAGGGGCAAGGAGAAGGAUAACUAUUUCUUUAUGUGUGUGUGAAUCUAGAGGAACCAGACUUGUCUCUGGAAAUGCAAGUGGGAAGUGGGAUUCACUGAGAAGCCAUCAUUCUGCUCAGGUGAGUCCUGACUUCAGGCGAGGGAUCCUAAAGGUGACACCGCGAUCCUUCACCUGGAAAGCCAAGGAGACAUGACAUCAGUGUGUUUCACAUCCUAAGCUUAAACAAAUGUAUAUUGUUUUUACCGCCUCUUUCUCAAGGGGGAACACUGCCCCUGAAACUGCACUCCUUGAAACCGAGCAAAGGUGCCAUCGCUAAUGAUUAGCAAGACGCUCCGGAUGGUUUGCAUCGAACUCCACCUGCUAUGUGAAAACCCCAUGCUUUUCUCACUUUCCCAUUCAAGCUGCUUAGCAGUUGGGUCCUCUCCUCUGAGUGUGGUUAUGUGUCAGUUUGACUUCUGUGUGCCCUGCGAUUUCGUUGUUUUCUUCUGCCCUGCCACAGCAAAUGACCAGUGGAGGCAACCAGCGGACGGAGGAAAAGGGCAGGUCCCUGCAUCCAUCUCAGCGCCCUGCAGCCGGCGGCCUGUCCUUUCAGGCGGGAGUUCCCAGCGGCGUUCCUAGGUGUUUUGAAUGUGUGCCCCGGGGCUGGGGGAAGCCUCGUGCAGUUCUGCUGCUGUGGGAGGCAGGGGGGACUGGAGGGGACGGGAGCAGUGUGAGGCUUUCAUGUGCAGAGGGGACAUGAGGACAUCUGGAUGGCAUCCCUGUGAGCAGGGCUCCCGCUGCAGGCCUUUGAAAACCCCGCUGCCCUGGCUCCCCAGUGCCUUGGAACUUUCUCCCUGGAGAAUGCAGAAAAGCCAGUGCCCUUGAUUUCUUAGACAUCUACAGCUUCGACACGUGCAGGGUUAUCCAGGAGCAGUGAGGUUUGGGGUGAGGGCCUGAGCACUUUCUGAAAAGUGCUUGUUUCUAAGAACCUGGAACUAUGAGUGAGGAGUGACAUGAGUUCUGCCCUCAAGUCCUCUGAUAACCAGCUGUGCAGUCUUGAACAAGUGACUUCAUCUCUUCAUCUUUAAAAUAAACCUUUUGGGCCAAAUGA